UACAGAGGCCUCAAGCGUUGUUCGGAAUUACUGGGCGUAAAGCGCAUGUAGGUGGGCAUGCAAGUCAGAUGUGAAAGCCCUGGGCUUAACCCGGGAAGUGCGUCUGAUACUGCAUAUCUGGAGUGCGAGAGAGGAGACUGGAAUUCCUAGUGUAGGGGUGAAAUCCGUAGAUAUUAGGAGGAAUACCGAUGGCGAAGACAGGUCUCUGGCUCGUAACUGACGCUGAGAUGCGAAAGCGUGGGUAGCAAACAGG
rnacentral:rRNA from 1 species